AACCCGAAGGCGCAAUGAAAGUGAAAGUCGGCAUUGCCUGGCCGACUGAGGCGGGAUCCGUCCGGGAAUCGCUGCGGCUCUCUUUCGAGGGGGCUGUGGGAGCUCGGCGGCGCACCGCCGGCCCGUCUCGACCGCUUCUCGUCGGCGAGGCGGAGCAAGAGCGCACACGUUGGGACCCGAAAGAUGGUGAACUAUGCUCGGGCAGGACGAAGCCAGAGGAAACUCUGGUGGAGGUCCGUAGCGAUUCUGACGUGCAAAUCGAUCGUCGGACCUGAGUAUAGGGGCGAAAGACUAAUCGAACCGUCU
rnacentral:rRNA from 2 species